UCAAUGAGGAUUCAAAAUGCUUUUCCAUAUUCCAAGUAUACUCUUCAUGAGCAUUAAAUGGAAGAAUAAUGGGCUUUGAGAAGACAAACGUAAAACCUUUUAAAAAUCCAAUGCUAAUGUUCAUUAAUAACCUAAAAAAAAAAAAAAAAAGGAAUUUCCAUAGUAUUUGAUAAAUCCUCUAUAUUUUCUCAGUCUUUACCGAAUCUGCUUAUUCUCUUCUCUUAACCUUGUUUUUUUCUUCCUCUGUUCAGCCUCAACAUUGAAGCAAACAGGGUAGUAGCGACAUAAAUCCACGACGGCACCUCUAUACAACCAGGGCGGCGCCGUCGCGAGUACUUAAAACCAACAUCAAAACUCCUAACCAAACAAUCGUUCCUAAACCCAAAUCUAAACAAACAGCAAAAUCCAAAGAGCCAGAUUCGGAAAACAAACACAAUCAGAAACCUGAGUUUUCAGCUUAAAAUCAAAACCAUGGUAACAACAAUUUUAUGCAAUAAUCAUGGGGUUUGCGUUCUAUGAGGCGGUAUAAACAAGGCGGUUACAUCAAAUCACGCAAAGGGAAAUAUUAAAUACCAAAUCGGAGCUAGUCCGACGUUUCAACUCCGGCAAGGUGAGGUAAAUGAUCCUUAGCGUCCUUCAAGGUCCUUUCUUCCUCUCGAACUUUCCGUCUUCUUCGCUUCCUCUUUAACGAUUUGGGUUUGUUUCGGUUUUGACAGGGGCUUAGCUCGAGCUUGUUGAGCUUCGGUGUGAAAAUCUCAACAAGUUCAAAAUGGAGCUUUUUAAUGAGGGUUUUGGAAUGAUUUCUCCAGAGUAACGGCGCAAAAAUUCGGAUCCCUUUUCAGUGGAUUUCACUCCCUUCUUAUAGAGGUGGUACGAGGUUUAUACGUCCUUAUCCUUCAUGAGCUGACAAAUCUAUUCAGAAUCAUUCCGUUAGAGAGGAAUUUUUGGGCUGGAUUUGGUGGGGACCAAGGUAUGUGAGUCAUUUCCUCAAUUUGUCUGUAGCGAAAUCCACCAAAAAGUGUGGUCCUGUAUUAGCUCUAUUUUACUGAUGUGGAAUACUCAUGUAUUGUGGUUAAAAAUCCUAUUUUUUACCGUCCUGUCUUGAACUUGCAUUGUGUAUUGUUUAUUGUUGCAUUUCCUUGGCUGAAAAGGCUUGUGCUUCUUCUGUUUUGACUCUGUUUUUUCGCUGCUGUAGCAGCUUCAUCCUUGGACUCUCAUUCAGUAACUUGCGAUUCAUGCACACGUGAUUAGUUUUUCUCAAUUUCUGCAGGCUGCAAUAUGCUCCUUAGGAUAUGGAAACAAAGCGUACAAGGAGUUGUCGUGGUUAACGGGCAUGCUGCUUAGAUCUCGAGUAAUUUCUUUUGUAAUGCCAACAUGUCUUUAGAUCACAGGUCUCGUUACGGCUGAUGCAUUGCCUAGUUCUUCACGUUGCAGGUUGGGUUUUACAGUUAGGCCUGCUAAUUUUAUCGAUCCUGCUGUCUUGCUGAAGAUUUCCUCACCCAUUGGCUUGUAUAUCAGGUCCUGCAGCAGGUUGUAUACAUGUCGGCAAUGCGAUUAGAGAGUGAUUUGCAAACCCGGAGAUGGCUCAAAUAUCGGCUUUGCUUUAUUUCCUCUUGUGCAGCAGGCACAAUACUGAAGAUGACGAUGUAUCGAUUUAAAUGCCGUGAAUUGCUGCUGAUUCAUGUUUCUGUUGUUUCCAUCAUUGCUAUUUUGGUCACAGCUUUGGAGCUUUGGGGAAUCAUAUGGGGGACACCGUUGAAACUCUUUAUUCGAUUUACAAAUGCCUUUAUCUUCGAGUUGCAUUGGCUACCAUUUGGCGUCAUUGUGAUGUCUUCAUUUGCAGCCAACUCAAUGUUGCGGCUUUGCUUGGAACACUACCGUUAGCAAUUCUGGUUUACUAUACCGUUAUGCUAUUUGCUUGGCCACUCUGCGGUUUUGGAAUGUUGCUGUGUUUGUAUGAACAUGCUGUAUUGUAUGAACAUGUGAUAUUAUUAGCUAUUGUGUUAGCAUUUGAAUGAAAUUUUGUCAUGGUAACAAUUA